AGUGAACGCUGGCGGUAGGCCUAACACAUGCAAGUCGAACGGCAGCACAGUAAGAGCUUGCUCUUACGGGUGGCGAGUGGCGGACGGGUGAGGAAUACAUCGGAAUCUACUUUUUCGUGGGGGAUAACGUAGGGAAACUUACGCUAAUACCGCAUACGACCUACGGGUCAAAGCAGUGGAUCUUCGGACCUUGCGCGAUUGAAUGAGCCGAUGUCGGAUUAGCUAGUUGGCGGGGUAAAGGCCCACCAAGGCGACGAUCCGUAGCUGGUCUGAGAGGAUGAUCAGCCACACUGGAACUGAGACACGGUCCAGACUCCUACGGGAGGCAGCAGUGGGGAAUAUUGGACAAUGGGCGCAAGCCUGAUCCAGCCAUACCGCGUGGGUGAAGAAGGCCUUCGGGUUGUAAAGCCCUUUUGUUGGGAAAGAAAAGCAGCAGGUUAAUACCCCGCUGUUCUGACGGUACCCAAAGAAUAAGCACCGGCUAACUUCGUG
rnacentral:rRNA from 1 species